rnacentral:rRNA from 1 species
GACGAACGCUGGCGGCGUGCUUAACACAUGCAAGUCGAACGGAAAGGCCCUGCUUUUGUGGGGUGCUCGAGUGGCGAACGGGUGAGUAACACGUGAGUAACCUGCCCUUGACUUUGGGAUAACUUCAGGAAACUGGGGCUAAUACCGGAUAGGAGCUCCUGCUGCAUGGUGGGGGUUGGAAAGUUUCGGCGGUUGGGGAUGGACUCGCGGCUUAUCAGCUGGUUGGUGGGGUAGUGGCGUACCAAGGCUUUGACGGGUAGCCGGCCUGAGAGGGUGACCGGCCACAUUGGGACUGCGAUACGGACCAGACUCCUACGGGAGGCAGCAGUGGGGAAUAUUGCACAAUGGGCGGAAGCCUGAUGCAGCAACGCCGCGUGCGGGAUGACGGCCUUCGGGUUGUAAACCGCUUUCGCCUGUGACGAAGCGUGAGUGACGGUAAUGGGUAAAGAAGCACCGGCUAACUACGUG